GAAGCCACUGUUACAGGAAUAUACACCAUGCUUCGAUGGUGCUUUAAUUUUGAUACAAGAUAUCAGAUUUAUGAGAAGGGACCUGAAUGACAAAAUAAAAAAAAUCGCAAAGUAUAGACCAUGAUGAGUAGAACAUGGUGCAACGGUUUGAUCAAAAAGUAGGCGGGCGGUGAGGUAGCUUUUUUGCGCUGGAGGGAUGGAGACGAAACGUCUCUAAGUGACAGCUAGCUACUUUUCGGAUAGCAACAGGUCAUUUGUUUUCGGAUUUUCUUCAGGUGGAUAAUAGUGGCGAAAAGUGCCAUUUUUCUGAGUUUAAUGAUGUGAAACACGCCGUAUUUUAGUACAGUAUCAGAUUGCUAUCACAUAGGCUCCAGCCUGACGUAGCAAAAGCACACCCGACUUCUAGCUCACCCGAUCCAUCGCCAUACCCAAUCACGAGGAGCCAGAUGAUAGUCUUUACCUUUCAACGACCAGUAUCCGGUGUCCAGUUCAACUGACCCAUGUAGCCAAACACAAGGAACCAAACGACGAGUCAGCAGUCGUCAAGUAUGCCCAACAUAUAACCAGAUCGUGACAGUAAUGAUAGAACUGGUAGUUUGUAACUGGGGCAGCAGGACCUCAGUCAGUCUCAAGCAGAGUUUCGUUGUCGUUUUAGUUAAAUAAAUCUAAGUGUUUGGGAAAAUAAUGUACAGGAAAUUUUCUUGAAUAAAUUUAAGUGUUUAGAAAUUCUCUCAA